UUCAAAUCUCAAGCUUUGCAAAUCUAUUUUAAAUAAUUACCGUUACAAAAUUAGAUUAGCAAAUUCUGCUCAAAUCUAUUUCCAGCUGUCUGCAAAUCUCAUGCUCAAUCACCGUUACAAACUUAGAUUAGCAAUUGAUCUUCAAAUUCUUCUCAAAUCUCUUUCAAUCCCUCUGCAAAUCGUUCUCAAAUUCAAUCUCUCGAUCCCUCUCAAAUCUAUCUCCACCCGUGUGCAAAUCAUUCUCAAAUCUCAUCUCCCAUCGUCUGCAAAUCCUUAUCACAACAAUUGAUGUGCUAAUAUCUAUCCACCACAGAUACAUCCUGAUUGGAAAUUAUGAUUUGGUGCUUCACCUUCCCCGCCUGAUAUCGGAACCUAUUUUUGCGGAUACAUCCCAAUUGAAAAUCAGGAUUUGGUGCUCCACCUCCCCCGCCUGAUUUCGUAACCUAUUUUUCAAGGUACGUGCUUGAUUGUCUCUAUGAUGAUAAAUUCUCCCUUAAUUUCAUCUCAUGUUAAUAAUAUAUAGAAUUGCGAGAUGGAUCUCCCGAGCUUGGCUUUGAUCCUACAGGGUGCACUCAGCACCAAUCCUGACCAACAGAGGGCCGCUGGAGAAAGUCUCAAUCAAAAUCAGGUUCUGUUUUCUAUUGCGGUUUUCAUUGAUUGUGAUUGUUUUUAAAUUAAGUAUAUUUGGUUAGAAGAUUGUAGGAGCUAUGAUGAGCUCGGUGGCAAUUACUUUCACAGUUUGCAUGAAUGAUGAUUGAUGCUUGUGUUGCUGAAAUUUAGUGAGUAAUGAGUCUUAUGUAUCUUUGGUGUACCUUUUGCAGAUUCAGUAUGCGCCCUAGCAUUUGGUGAGGUUGUUGUAUAUCAUAGUAGAAGUCAGCUGCAAUUUAGAGGUUAGACAAGUCGCUAGCAUUAUCUUCAAUAAUUUCAUUGCUAAAUAUUGGGCUUCUCAUGAUGCAGGUAAAUUUAGGAAUUCAUGGCGAAAAGUUAUAUCGUUUAAAUCUUUUCUUGUCAGGAGUACUGUUUUUGGUUUCAGAUUAUUGGGAAACAUGAAAAUAGUGGAUGGACGAGUUAAAUUGAAUUUUUUAUUUCCAAUUAUUUUUUGAAGUAGUGGUUUGAUAUCUUGGCCAAGAAAUUUGUGAUACAACUUUCCUACUAAAGUAAGAGAUUAUAAAACUUGUAUCUAUAUGUCUGUCUGUAAGCCACACAUAAUGCUCAAGGAUUGGAAUUCUUCAGAGAGUUCCAUCUAAAGUAGAGUUAUAAUGUCAUUCAGAUCCGACCUGAGCAUUUGCAGCUCCUUCUUCCUGGAGAUUUGCUGCACACAUUAGUAGUUUUCUCUUGUCUAUCUCUCAGGAGUUGGCAUUGUUCUUUCUAACGAAGAAAACUGAUACUUUUAGUAUAAAAAUACUAUUUGUGCUAGCCAAAUUAUGUUUAUGCUUUCAUGAACUUCUAUUUGAUACUAAAAGAAUUAUUGUUUAGGUUCCNUUAGCAAUUGAUCUUCAAAUUAUUCUCAAAUCUCUUUCAAUCCCUCUGCAAAUCGUUCUCAAAUUCAAUCUCUCGAUCCCUCUCAAAUCUAUCUCCACCCGUGUGCAAAUCAUUCUCAAAUCUCAUCUCCCAUCGUCUGCAAAUCCUUAUCACAACAAUUGAUGUGCUAAUAUCUAUCCACCACAGAUACAUCCCGAUUGGAAAUUAUGAUUUGGUGCUUCACCUCCCCCGCCUGAUAUCGGAACCUAUUUUUGCGGAUACAUCCCAAUUGAAAAUCAGGAUUUGGUGCUCCACCUCCCCCGCCUGAUUUCGUAACCUAUUUUUCAAG
rnacentral:lncRNA from 1 species